rnacentral:rRNA from 1 species
AACGUAGGAGACGAACGUUAUCCGGAGUUACUGGGCGUAAAGGGCGUGUAGGCGGUUUGUUAAGUCUGGCGUGAAAGCUCUCGGCUAAACCGGGAGAGGUCGUUGGAUACUGGCGAACUAGAGGAUGGUAGAGGCGUGUGGAAUUCCGGGUGUAGUGGUGAAAUGCGUAGAGAUCCGGAGGAACACCAGUGGCGAAGGCGACACGCUGGGCCAUACCCUGACGCUAAAGCGCGACAGCAUGGGGAGCAAACGGG